GAUGAACGCUGGCGGCGUGCCUAAUACAUGCCAGUCGAGCGAACGGACGAGAAGCUUGCUUUUCUGAUGUUAGCGGCGGACGGGUGAGUAACACGUGGAUAACCUACCUAUAAGACUGGGAUAACUUCGGGAAACCGGAGCUAAUACCGGAUAAUAUUUUGAACCGCAUGGUUCAUAAGUGAAAGACGGUCUUGCUGUCACUUAUAGAUGGAUCCGCGCUGCAUUAGCUAGUUGGUAAGGUAACGGCUUACCAAGGCAACGAUGCAUAGCCGACCUGAGAGGGUGAUCGGCCACACUGGAACUGAGACACGGUCCAGACUCCUACGGGAGGCAGCAGUAGGGAAUCUUCCGCAAUGGGCGAAAGCCUGACGGAGCAACGCCGCGUGAGUGAUGAAGGUCUUCGGAUCGUAAAACUCUGUUAUUAGGGAAGAACAUAUGUGUAAGUAACUGUGCACAUCUUGACGGUACCUAAUCAGAAAGCCACGGCUAACUACGUG
rnacentral:rRNA from 1 species